UCCCCGAACUUUUUUUUUUUUUUUUUGGUUUUUCAAGAGGGAGUAACUCUUUAAAAAUGGUGCUGUACCCCUUUAAUUCCAGCACUUGGGAGGCAGAGGUUCAAGGCCAGCUUAUUCUAUUCUACACAGCAAGUUCCAGGUCAGCCAAGGCUACACAGAGAAACCCAGUCUUUACAAAGAAAGAAAGAAAGAAAGAAAGAAAGAAAGAAAGAAAGAAAGAAAGAAAGAAAGAAAGAAAGAAAGAAAGAAAGAAAGAAAGAGAAAGAAGGAAAGAAAGAAAGAGAAGGAAAGAAAGAAAGAAAGAAAGAAAGAAAGAAAGAAAGAAAGAAAGAAAGAAAGAAAGAAAAAGUUAUUCAAUGAUUAUCGUGCAAGCAAGCAUGCUUAUGGAAAAAAAAAAAAAAAGGCCAGGCAGAGUGGUCACGUAACCACACCACCAGGGGAUGACAGGAGGUAGAGACAGCUCCCUGGCAGCCAACCUAGCUGAAGUGAUAACCUUCAAGUUCAGUGAGAAACCCUCUCUCAAAAAGUAAGGUGGAAGCCGGGCGUGGUGGUGCACUCUGUUAAUCCCAGCACUAGGAGGCAGACACAGUGGACUUCUGUGAAUUCAAGGCUAGCCUGGUCUACCUAGCAAGUUCCAGGCCACUGAGACCCGUAGAGACAUACGUAACACACACACACACAGACACAGAGUUACAUUUGGCUUAGGGGGUGGCUCAGUGGUAAAGCAUGUACUUAGCAUGUUGAAGGCCCUGUGGUUCCAUCCCCAGCAACACAGACAGACAGACAGACAGAGACAAAGAGUGACAUUUAACCUUCCUCUCUGUGGAACUUGAUUUCUCUUUUCUUCAACCUGGUGGAAAGGUAAGGGCUAUCCCAGGACACACACACAGUGGAGAAGGUGCCAUGGCAGGUCUCCCUUUGCCCAGGUCCUCCUCCACCACCCCUGGGCAAGCAGUUGGUGCAGACCCCAAACCCACCUACAGCCCGGUCCAUACCACUGGUGCCACAAGCUAAGCUGUCGAAUUUCAAACCCAGAUUGUCAAAAAUAACACCCCCACACCACUUCCUUCCUGUGAUUUCUAAAUAAAGGCCGUGGGGAUUUCAAGAAGUACGUGAAUAGGGAGGGGUGCCAGACGGGUUUUUGGGGAUGUGCCGCCCCAAGAUGGCAGAGGGCAGGGCUUGGCCCCUAAGACAUUGCGAGAGGGGUACUUCCAGCCCAGCUGCAGGUCAGUCAUUAAUGGGAACAAGGAGGAGUCUGAAGCGAUCACAGGCCUGGUAUUAGAAGGACAGAAUAGGAAGAGGACUAAACUGCUUCCUGUUUCCCCAUGUUGGACGUAAGGAGCCAUCAAUGGCUCACACACACAGAAACACACAUGCACAGAUACACACAGAGACAUACAAACACAGAAACU
rnacentral:lncRNA from 1 species